GUGCUUGCUUCGGUAGCACAUAUACUAAAUUUGGAAUGAUACAGAGAAGAUAGCAUGGCCCCUGUGCAAGGAUGACACACAAAUUCAUGAAGUGUUCCAUAUUUUU
rnacentral:snRNA from 1 species